rnacentral:lncRNA from 1 species
CGAGAGCUAUCAUCUCUUGUUCAAGCCCAUCAUGGGGAAAGUGAUGGAAAUUUUCAAACCAGGUGCGGUGGUACUGCAGUGCGGCGCUGAUUCCUUGUCUGGCGAUAGGCUCGGAUGCUUUAACCUCUCCAUCAAAGGCCAUGCCGAGUGUGUCAAGUUCAUGAGAUCUUUCAACGUUCCGUUACUGCUCCUUGGUGGUGGUGGUUACACUAUCCGCAACGUUGCGCGGUGCUGGUGCUACGAGACUGGAGUUGCGCUUGGGAUCGAGGUUGAGGACAAGAUGCCGGAGCAUGAGUACUAUGAGUACUUUGGUCCGGACUAUACGCUUCACGUUGCUCCGAGUAACAUGGAGAACAAGAACUCUCGGCAGAUGCUUGAAGUGAUUCGUAAUGACUUGCUCCAGAAUCUCUCGAAGCUUCAGCAUGCUCCUAGUGUGCCGUUUCAGGAAAGGCCGCCAGAUACUGAGACUCCUGAGGUAAUGUUUUGGCUGCUUGCUUUACUUCUGUAGCUCAUUCUUUCUUGUGUGAGGUCAUUGAGUUUCUAAAACAGUUUAUUUUGCUACCAAUCUUAGUAUAAUAUAUUUUCUAAUUUAAACAGUUUAUUUUGCUAAAAAUCUUAGUAUAAUUUUUUCUGAUUUAAACAGUUUAUUUUGAUAAUUUUGUCUAAUUUAAACAGUUUAUUUUGGCACCAAUCUUAGUAUAAUUUUUUUUUCUAAUUUAAACACUCUAUUUUGCUACCAAUCUUAGUAUUAAUUUUGUGUAAAUUACAGGUAGAUGAAGACCAAGAGGAUGGAGAUAAAAGAUGGGAUGCAGAUUCUGACAUGGAUGUAGAUGAUGAUCGGUAUGUAACAUCAAUGUUUUUUUGUUUCCGUGACAGUAGAGUUGUUUAUACUUAAUUUGCUAUCGGAUUGUGCAGCAAACCUAUACCAAGCAGAGUGAAGAGAGAAGCUGUUGAAUCUGAUGCAAAGGACAAGGUAAGCCAAGAGUAUCUCUUAUUUGCCUUGGUUUCUCAAACAUUGUUAUAAACAUUUAAACUCAUAUUUGUUGAAUUAUUCUCUUUUAGUACUGAAUCUUCUCUGAGAAAUGUGCCAAAAACAAAAUAUUAUCUUUCCAUCAGUCUAAAAUUAAAGUUAAAUCUGAACUGGAGACGCAUUCACUCUGGCUAGGGAUCAAUACAUUUAGUCUAGUCAGAAUGGUAGUAACAGACGUGACAUGCUUGCUGAGCUGAAUCAUCUGUGCAUCUCAAUUCCUUAUUCUUUGUGAAUUAUCUCUGGAUUCUAAUGAGUUUAGAUUGUGAUUGGCUUGGUAUGUUGAAGAGGUUGAUUUAAUCAUAACGUGUUAAAUGCAGGAUGGAGUGAAAGGAGUGAUGGAGCGUGGGAAAGGUUUUGAGGUGGGCAUGGAGGAGAGUGGAAGCACCACCAAGGUGAAGUGAAACAAUAAACCCGAGAGUUUUUGAUUGAUACAUACUGAGAUUAAAACAAGUUGUCUAAAGUGGUUUGGUUUGGUUGCAGGUUUCAGGAGUAAACUCAGUGGGAAUGGAGGAAGCAGGUGUGAAAAUGGAAGAGGAAGGCACAACAAACAAGUCAGGGGGAGAUCAAGUGUUUCCUAAAACAUAAAAAGACUUUGGAGGCUUCUCGUGUAUCUUGUUGCCUUCCUAGUCUUUCUUAACUUUUUAGUUUGUUUAUUGAUAAUUGAACACGUACGAUGUUAUGUAUUUAGUCGUUGCAAAUGUGGCAUGUCUGAAUGACAAGACUGAGAUAAUUCUAUUUGUUAUGAAGUGUAUGGGGCUGCUUCUAUCAAACACGACCAAUUACAUCACAUAGCUAAAACUUUGUACUCUUGCUACGUUCUUCUUUAGUCCAUAUACAAAAUGGAGAAGAAUAUUUUUGGAUAAUGAUAGUUUAUUUAUCUAUAUAAUUAUAUCCCAAAAUAAAAUAAAACCGUGAGUCCCCCUCGUUAGGCAUGGGACAAAUCCGGAUAUCCGAGAAAUUUAGGUUAUCCGGAUCCGUUGGAUCUGUGAAUUUAAUAUCCGGAUUCUUGGUUUCCGGAUAUCUGGAUUUCGGAUAUCUAUGUCGAUAUUCUAUUACCCGCGGAUAUCCGGAUCCAGAUCCGUAAAAGUAAUUAAAAAUAAUAAAAAAUUUUAAAAUACUAAUAUUUUUAAUAUAAUACAUAAAUUAAACAUUUAUAAAUAUAUUUAUAUAUGUCUAUAAUAUUGUAAAAACUAAAAAUAAUAUUAUAAGAUUAAUUCAUGUAUAAAUAUUAACAUAUCAAAUACAAAUAUUAAUGAAAUUAAAAAAAUUAACGUGUUUUAAAAAUACGGAUCCAGAUCCGAAUAUCCAGACCUAAAAGUUAAGAUAUCCGGAUCCAGAUUCGGUUUGGACGGAUCCAAGAUUUUAUCAUCCGGAUUCGGAUCCAGACACUCCGGAUAUCCUAUUUUCGGAACGGAUUGGACCGGAUCUCGGACCUAAGUCCACUUCCUGGUAUUUAACAAUAAUUUUUGUCACAAGAAAAUAAAAGGUGUUACGAAAGUCAAAGAAAUAAGGCAGCCGUAUAUGUUGAAAAUAUAAAAGGAUGUAGGGCUCGCUGCACUAUUUGCACAGUGAAUUUCUCUUCUAUAUAUACGAACGUUUUCGUUCGUUGUAAAACAUCAUUCACUCUUCUCUUCUCUCUGAUAAUAAGAUUUCUAUCAGUAUUAAAUAUUCUACGGGUAUAAUAUUUUGCCCUUAUUUAAAUUCCUGUGAUACAAUAAAAUUCCACCUUUUUUGGUCAUCAGAUUAAUUGUAUCUUUAAUAUUGUACAUUUACUAACAAAAUCUUAUUGGUUUUAAGCAUGACCGGACCCGUAAUAUUUUAGGCCCUUAAACAUAUAAACUUUUUGGUCCAUUAACUAUUAUCUUUUGGAAAAUUUUAAAAAUGUACACAUUGUUACGAAUGUCAAAGAAAAAAAAGCAGCAGCCACCGCAAUUGUUGAAAAUAUAAAGAUGUGGGGUCCACUGCACUAUUUGCAUAGUAAAUUUUUUUCUAUAUAUACGAACGGUUUCGUUCAUUGUAAAACACACCUCAACCUUCUCUUCUCUCUAUAAUAAACUCUUUCUAUCAGUGUUAUAAAUUCUACGGGUAUAAAUUUUUACUUUAUUUAAAUUCCCUCGAUAUAAUAAAAUUCCAGUUCUUUUCAUAACACGUUAUCAGCACGAUCACUCUGCGAUUCGAAAUACAAAUGGCAAAAAUCGAGAAACUUCAGUUUCCGGCAUUGGAAGUAACUGGGACAAACUACACGGCAUGGGUUACAAACAUGGAGUUUCAUCUAGAUUCCGAGGAAAUACUCGGAACAAUAAAAGACGGCAAUAUAUCAACCUCUCAUGAAAAGGCUAAGGCCGUGAUUUUUCUGAGAAGACAUCUAGAUAAAAAUCUUACGCAUGAUUAUGCUAGAACCAAAGAUCCCUUAGAUCUUUGGAAAGCUCUGAAGGAGAGGUUUGAUAACCAAAAGAAAAUUACUCUCCCCCAUGCACUCGAUGAGUGGAAAAAUCUACGAUUUCAAGAUUUUGAAAAAGUGGAAACGUACAAUUCCGCUAUAUUGAGAAUAGCGGCGCAAUUAGAUUAUUGCGGUAAGCCUGUCUCGGAAGCAGAAAUGCUCGAGAAAACUUACCAAACGUUCCACAAAAAUCAUUAUGUUCUACAAGAACAAUAUAGAAAUUGUGGGUAUACGAGGUUCUCUGAACUCGCUGUGGCGCUUAUAAUAGCGGAGAGAAAUAAUGAACUCCUCAUUAAAAACCACAAUGCCCGACCCACGGGAACCAAAGCAUUUCCUGAGGUAAAUGCAACGGAUAUAAAAAAUCCGGAAAAAGGAAAUUAUUCCUAUCGUGGGCGUGGUCGUGGCCGUGGUCACAAUCGUGGUUUUGGUCGUGGUCGUGGUUAUCGAUUUAACCGCAACCAUGAAAGGAGUAACAACCCAAGAGGAAGGGGAUCCAACACAUGGAAUCGAUCUGAUCGGGUAAAAGGGAAAGAAACCCAAGAAAACCCUACUCAUAAAAAUGAGAACGUCUGUUACAGAUGUGGAUCGAAGGGACACUGGUCUCAAGUAUGUCGAACUCCUCGGCAUCUAUGCCAAUUGUACCAAGAAUCUAUUAAAGGCAAGGCAAAGGAAGUAAAUCUCAAUGAACACCUUGUGGGUACAACAUCGACAUACCUCGAAUCCUCUGACUUUAUGGGAGAUUUCGACGAGGCCACUCAUCAAAAUAAUUGAAGUGCUUGUACUGAUCAAGCUUAAUAAUGCCUAGUGAUGCCAUAAAAUAUUAUGUAUUUCACUUUCAAAAUAAUGUUGUAUUUCAAAAUAUCUAAUGUAUAAUUAUUGUGUACUUGUUAUUGAUGAAUAAUAUGUUUACUUAUGAAAGUUUAUUUUCUUUAUUGAUAUUAACUGUGUGUUACAGAAAUGGAUAAGAAAGCAAAUGGAACAACAACUAAACAAAUUGGUAGAGAAGUUUGCAUACCAGAUAGUGGCACAACGCACACUAUACUGAAGGAUAAGAGAUAUUUCUCUACUUUAAAGUCAGUAAAAAUGACUAUAAACACAAUAUCAGGUCCUACAGACCUGAUCGAAGGAAUUGGCAAGGCGAACUUUAUGUUGCCUAAUGGAACAAAGUUUUCCAUAGAUAAUGCCUUAUAUUCUCCAAAUUCUAAGAGAAAUUUGUUGAGUUUCAAAGAUAUAUACCGUCAAGGGUAUAACACUCAGUCUGCAACUGAGAAUGGAAAGAAGUAUUUGUAUAUAACUUCUGAAAAAUCAGGCAAAGGCCUUGUACUGGAAAAAUUUCCAGAACUUCCUUCUGGAUUGCAUCACACUUAUAUUGAUGCUAUAGAAUCACAUCUUGUGAUAAAAAGAAAUCCAGAAGAUGUUACAUUAUGGCAUGAUCGCCUUGGUCAUCCAGGCACUACAAUGAUGCGAAAAAUCAUUGAAAGCUCACAUGGUCAUUCAAUAAAAACCCAAGAUAUAUACCAAAGUAAUAAAAUGACAUGUGAUGCGUGUGCUCUUGGGAAAUUAAUCAUAAGACCAUCACCAACCAAAGUUGACAAAGAAUCACCAAAGUUUUUGGAAAGAAUCCAAGGUGAUAUUUGUGGACCAAUACAUCCACCGUGUGGACCAUUCUACUACUUUAUGGUAUUAAUCGAUGCAUCGAGUAGAUGGUCACAUGUUUGUUUGUUAUCAUCUCGAAAUAUGGCAUUUGCGAGAUUUCUAACUCAGAUAAUCAAAUUAAGAGCACAGUUCUCAGAUUAUCCAAUUAAAAGAGUUAGAUUAGAUAACGCUGGUGAAUUCACAUCCCAAGCUUUUAAUGAUUAUUGUAUGGUAUCAGGGAUUGAAGUAGAGCAUUCUGUUGCUCAUGUUCAUACACAAAAUGGUUUGGCAGAAUCAUUAAUUAAACGGCUGCAACUAAUUGCAAGGCCAUUGAUCAUGAGAUCAAAACUCCCAACCUCUGUAUGGGGACAUGCUAUUUUGCAUGCAGAAGCACUAAUUCGGAUAAGACCAAGUGCAUACCAUAGAUAUUCCCCAUUACAGUUAGCAUUUGGAAAAGAACCAAAUAUCUCUCAUCUAAAAAUCUUUGGUUGUGCGGUUUAUAUUCCAAUAGCACCACCACAACGUACAAAGAUGGGACCGCAAAGACGGUUGGGAAUAUAUAUUGGCUAUGAUUCUCCAUCAAUAAUAAGAUACCUAGAACCACAAACUGGUGAUGUGUUUACGGCACGAUUUGCCGAUUGUCAUUUCAAUGAGAAAGAAUUCCCAACUCUAGGGGGAGACAAUAAACAAGUAGGAAAAGAGAUCAAAUGGAGUGUACCAUCGUUAUUACACCUUGAUCCUCCUACGAAACAGUCAGAACUAGAAGUUCGACGUAUCAUGCAUUUACAAAAUAUAGCAAAUCAGCUACCUGAUGCAUUUGCUGAUACCAAAAUGGUAACUAAAUCACAUAUACCCGCUGCAAAUACUCCUGCUCGUAUUGAAAUACCACAAAAUGGUGGAACGGCAGUUGAUACACGUGAAUCAGGAACACGUUUAAAGCGCGGUAGACCUAUUGGUUCAAAGGAUAAACUUCCUAGAAAACGUAAGGAAUGUGAAAAGCAUGAUACUCCCAAAAUAACAGAAAAUAUUUUGGACGAAGAAAAUUGUGAAUCUAAUGACAAUAUAAAGCAUCUUGAAUCUGAAGGAAAUCAUGAGAUUUCUAUCAAUUACAUCCAUAAUGGAAAGAUAUGGAAACGAAAUGAGAUGGAUGAUAUUGAUGACGUUUUCUCAUACCUUUUAGCAAAGGAAAUAAAUGAAGAAAACGAAGAUCCAGAACCAAAGUCUGUAUAUGAAUGUCAAAAGAGACAUGACUGGAUAAAAUGGAAAGAUGCAAUUAAAGUCGAACUAGAUUCGCUUAACAAACGAAAUGUAUUCGGACCUAUUAUGCUCACACCCAAAGAUGUAAAACCUGUUGGGUACAAAUGGGUGUUUGUCCGAAAAAGAAACAAGAAAAACGAGAUUACAAGAUACAAAGCUCGUCUCGUAGCCCAAGGUUUCUCUCAAAGGCCAGGAAUUGAUUAUGAGGAAACUUAUUUUCCUGUUAUGGACGCAAUCACAUUUAGAUUCCUGAUGAGCCUAGCGGCCAAUGAAAAUUUAGAAAUGCGUCUCAUGGAUGUCGUUACGGCAUAUUAUAUGGAUCAUUAGAUACUCAUAUCUAUAUGAGAAUCCCAGAUGGAUUUAAAAUGCCAGAAAUGUUAAGUUCCAGACCUAAAGAGUUAUGUGCAAUAAAAUUGCAAAGAUCAUUAUAUGGGUUAAAACAAUCUGGACGAAUGUGGUAUAAUCGUCUCAGCGAACACUUAACAAAAGAAGGAUACACGAAUGAUCCUAUAUGCCCUUGUGUUUUCAUAAAGAAAACAACAUCCGGAUUUGUGAUAAUCGCGGUGUACGUUGAUGAUCUUAAUAUUAUUGGAACUCAAAACGAAAUCCAAAAGGCAUCAAACUAUCUGAAAGGAGAAUUUGAGAUGAAAGAUCUCGGGCAGACAAAAUAUUGUCUAGGAUUACAAAUUGAGCAUUCUCGAAAGGGUAUAUUUGUACACCAGUCUACAUAUACCAAACGAGUAUUGAAACGCUUUAACAUGGAUAAAGCAACUCCUCUUAGCACCCCGAUGGUCGUUAGAUCACUUAAUGUUGAAAAUGAUCCGUUUCGACCAUCUGAGGAAAAUGAAGAAAUACUUGGUCCUGAAACUCCAUAUUUAAGUGCAAUUGGAGCUCUUAUGUAUCUUGCAAAGCAUGUGUUGCUCAAACGAAGGAAGGAUAUAUCAAAAGCGAUAGAACCAAACAUAUACCUCCGAAGUUCUUCUCAUACACUCAAGAGCUCGAGAAGAAUAAAGAGAUUGAAGUAAGAUAUGUUCGAUCAUGCGACAAUGCAGCCGACCUCUUCACAAAAUCACUUCCUACCUCGGUAUUCAGAAAACACAUCCAUAACAUUGGAAUGCGUCAUCAGAAGGAUCUAUGACUGCUUAUUCGAGGGGGAGCUUACGUAGUUGUACUCUUUUUACCCUACUAUGGUUUUUCCCAUUGGGUUUUCCUGGAAAGGUUUUUAACGAGGCAACAAAGACGUUAAGCGAGAGCGGAUAAUGACACCGGCCCCCAAGGGGGAGUGUUACGAAAGUCAAAGAAAUAAGGCAGCCGUAUAUGUUGAAAAUAUAAAAGGAUGUGGGGCCCGCUGCACUAUUUGCACAGUGAAUUUCUCUUCUAUAUAUACGAACGUUUUCGUUCGUUGUAAAACAUCAUUCACUCUUCUCUUCUCUCUGAUAAUAAGAUUUCUAUCAGUAUUAAAUAUUCUACGGGUAUAAUAUUUUGCCCUUAUUUAAAUUCCUGUGAUACAAUAAAAUUCCACUUCUUUUCAUAACAAAAGGUAAUUAAUAGAUAGCUGAAGUUACCUGGGCUUAAUUCUCUAGUAGGACUCUAAAACUGUGACAGCAAAUCCGCAAUAGAGUGUUGGGCCUAUCUUAGACGGCCCAAUGGUCUCUAGCAGGACUACGAACGAUGAUGGCAAAUCCGUAAAUAAUGGGAAACUAAAAGGGUAGAUUAAGCGAGAGGAAGUAAUAAAAAAGACAAAAAAAAGGAAAAAGACGUAACUCUCCCUAUUGUUGUCGGAGAGAAGGCAAAGGUGUAGUUUGGCAUCAUCGCCCUCAAAGAAACCUAAUCUCUACCUCUUCUGCCCCUUCUGUAAUUCCCGAUCACACCCUUCUCUCUUCCUCCACCCCCUCCUUUACCCAUCAUCGAUUUCUUCUUCUUUUAUUUUUACCCGCCAAAUUCAACUUCCCAUCUCCAACGACUCAUUUCCCCCAAUUCGAAACCCUAGAUUUCUGAUUCCCGGUGGCUUGGAUCUUCUCUUUUCUCGCGUUUCAGAUUUUGAUCCUCGUGAGUUCUCUGUUUCUGCAGUUGAAUUCGUUCUAGUCUCUGCUCAGUUCAGAUCUUUCUGUUAGUUAUCUGUUACACUCAUGAGCUGAUGAUGAUAUGACUAAUUUAACUUUGUUGAAUUUCAAAUUUUUUUUUUAUUUUUUAAAUCUCGCAUAAGUUAAUUGCUCGUCUCUGUUAGAUUCUGUUCACUAACUCUUAGUUUUAUAAUCUAUUUUUUGUAGCUUCAUAUUAUGCACUAGGUAAAAAGCUCUCACUCUCUUUCUCGUGUUGAUCUUAUUGGGUCUUUAAGUCUUUUGGGUUUUGAACAUCAUACACACUUUCAAUUAUUAAUAUCUUUCGUUAUGUCUAUGUUUUGGAUGAUUAGAUCUUUGUUGUCUUUUUUUCUCUUUAUUACAGGUACUGAUAACGCAAAAGAACUAGUUACCUCUUCACGAGUGGGGGAUAUAUCAAAAGCUUGCUUCUACAAUGGCCAAUCGCGAUUUAAUGCUAGGACAGAACCACAACAUCGGUAUAACCCAAGAUCAAUCACUGGUCCUCGGUCACAACCACACUCUAGAACUUGGUCAAAACCACGACAUGGGCUUAGAACAAUCUCAUCACGGUGAUCACCAACUUGACUUAACACAUCAACACGAAGAAGAUCACGAGCUAGGCUUAGGAGUACACAACGAAAACCAAGACGAAGAAGAACAUCACCACCAUCAUCACGAUUACAUGAACGAGAACGAACUCUCAAUUGAUCAAAAGCCUGGACACGAAGACGAAGACGUUGAUCCAGAGAACCAAAUGUUCUCCUUAUCCGGCACCAACGAGAACCUCGAGCUAGCCAUCGACUCAACCCACGAGAUCGAAAUCGACCACCACGGCGAGAUGGUAAUGGUCACCACCCCCGUCCAAGCCCGCGCCCUCUCCGCCGAGUCAACCUACCAGCUAACCGUCGGGCAAGAGUUCCCAGACGUCAAGAGCUGCCGCAGAGCGCUAAGAGACAUGGCCAUCGCUCAGCACUUCGAAAUGCAGACCAUAAAAUCAGACAAAACACGAUUUACAGCCAAAUGCUCUACCGAAGGAUGCCCGUGGAGAGUCCACGCAGCUAAGCUCCCGGGCGUCCCGACGUUCACGAUCCGUACCAUCCACGAAAGCCACACCUGCGGAGGGAUCAACCACUUGGGCCACCAGCAGGCCUCCGUCCAGUGGGUGGCCACCUCCGUGGAGCAGCGUCUCCGCGAGAAUCCCAACUGCAAACCUAAAGAGAUUCUCGAGGAGAUACACCGCGUCCACGGCAUCACGUUAUCCUACAAGCAAGCGUGGCGCGGUAAAGAGAGGAUCAUGGCCACCAUGCGCGGCUCAUUCGAGGAAGGCUACAGGCUACUCCCUCAGUACUGCCACCAGGUCAAGAGGACGAAUCCUGGAAGCAUCGCUUCGGUAUACGGUUAUCCGUCCGACGACUGCUUCCAGCGUCUCUUCAUAUCCUUCCAAGCUUCCAUCUACGGGUUCCUAAACGCCUGCCGCCCGCUUAUUGGUCUAGACAGAACCUAUCUCAAAAGCAAGUACUUGGGGACGCUGCUUUUAGCGACCGGGUUCGACGGAGACGGCGCGUUGUUUCCGUUAGCGUUUGGGAUUGUAGACGAAGAAAACGACGAGAACUGGAUGUGGUUCUUGUGUGAGCUUCAUAAUCUUCUCGAAACCAACACCGAGAACAUGCCGAGGCUCACUAUACUAUCCGAUAGACAGAAGGGGAUAGUCGAAGGAGUUGAGCAGAACUUCCCAACGGCCUUUCACGGCUUCUGCAUGAGGCACUUAAGCGAGAGCUUCCGUAAGGAGUUUAACAACACGCUCUUAGUUAACUACCUCUGGGAAGCGGCUCAAGCUCUUACCGUGAUUGAGUUUGAAGCUAAACUACUUGAAGUGGAAGAAGCUUCUCAAGACGCUGCGUACUGGAUCAGACGUAUCCCUCCGAGGCUGUGGGCGACUGCCUACUUCGAAGGGCAAAGGUUUGGACACUUGACGGCUAAUAUAGUCGAGUCGCUGAACUCGUGGAUCGGCGAAGCGUCCGGGCUUCCGAUUAUCCAGAUGAUGGAAUGCAUCAGGAGGCAGCUGAUGACUUGGUUCAACGAAAGGCGGGAGACCAGCAUGCAGUGGACUUCGAUCCUCGUCCCAAGCGCCGAGCGCCGCGUCGCCGAGGCGCUCGAGCUAGCGAGGACACUUUAUUCCUUUUGUCAGACGUAUGCUGGUGGCUCUGUUGGUGGUUCUGUUAAGCUGAACCAUGGGCUUUGUGAUAUUGCUAUUAACUGGGCUGGUGGUCUUCAUCAUGCUAAGAAGUGUGAGGCCUCUGGCUUCUGCUACGUUAAUGAUAUCGUCUUAGCUAUCCUGGAGCUGCUUAAGCAACAUGAGGUUUGUCUCCUCCCUACUUACAGCUUUCUCCCAUAUUUAAAAUAACGAUUUAUACGAUUCAAACCAUUAUAGAACAUUUUAAACCGGUUUAAACUGUCUAAAUCGAUCUAAACUAGACUAAAUUUGUUAAAUUAACUAACAAUGUUAGUAUAAAUCCACAAAUUUGUAUAAUCGUCUUUUUUUUUGUAUAUCUAAUUUGGUAAUAGACCAUUCUAAGCCGGUUCAGACCGUUAGAAACCAUACUAAACCGGUUUAAACCGUUCUAAAUCGGUUUAAAUCAAUCUAAAUCUGACUAAAUUUGUUAAAUUAACAUACAUAUCCACAAAUUUGUAUAGCUUCUUUUGUUUUGUAUAUCUAAUUUUGAUAAUUCAUAAAACAAUUUUGUAAUUAAAACCAAAAAAAAACUAAAAUAUCUUAUAUCAGUGUAAAAUAUGUAUAAAAUAAAUCAACUAUUAGUAAUAAUCUGUUCUUUGCAAACAUUGUUGAACAUAAUCUAAUGUAUUUGUCUUUCUUCUUGUUUCUCAGCGUGUUCUGUACGUUGAUAUCGACAUUCACCACGGGGACGGAGUGGAGGAGGCGUUUUACGCCACCGACAGAGUCAUGACCGUCUCAUUCCAUAAGUUCGGAGACUACUUCCCCGGUACAGGCCACAUACAAGACAUUGGCUACGGAAGUGGAAAGUACUAUUCACUCAACGUACCACUGGACGAUGGUAUCGACGAUGAGAGCUAUCAUCUCUUGUUCAAACCCAUCAUGGGGAAAGUGAUGGAAAUUUUCAAACCAGGUGCGGUCGUACUCCAAUGCGGCGCUGACUCCUUGUCUGGCGAUAGGCUGGGAUGCUUUAACCUCUCCAUCAAAGGCCAUGCCGAGUGUGUCAAGUUCAUGAGAUCUUUCAACGUUCCGUUACUGCUCCUUGGUGGUGGUGGUUACACUAUCCGCAACGUUGCGCGUUGCUGGUGCUACGAGACUGG